UCAAAACCAGAAUGCCUCUCUUGGAACUUGAAAGUUACAGUAAUGGUGGUGCCUUUCUGUUGGGACGAACCUUUCACUUUGGUUCCUAUCUCUUGAGUCUUGAGUGGAGGAGUGGUUGCUCUAUGGUAGGAUGGGAAGGCACUGUUAUUUGUAUAGUAAAAAUGAGUAAGUGAGUGCAGGAGAAGUCGUUAGAAGUCCAAGGUUGUAUACUUCCUAAUGAUGAAAUCAUAACCUGUUGCAAAGCUACCUGACUCCCCACUCCAUAUCUCCUUUGAACUACAUUUUUCCAAGAUAAUGAAAGCAAAUGAGGCUAAAACAAGGACAGAAGAAAUUCAUCCAUUUCUGGGGAAUGAGUUGUUGUUCUGGCAUCUAGGAGGAGAGGGCUGCACGGCCUACACUUCCUGCUUGUUUGGGAGACAGACCUUCCAUCCUCAGAAGGAGAGUGGGCUCUGCUCAUCCACCACGGGAGCUGAUUCACUGCAAGCCCGACUGUUUGAUCAGGAAGAAUGGCGUGGGUGGUCGUGUCCCAGACAGAAGACACUUGGCCAGAUGGAGACGCGCCUGUACACUUGGAUCUGCUGCAGACUUGGAUCUGCUCAGCGUGUUUCCGGAUCCUGAGGCUGCUCUCUUGAUUGAACACACUGUCACACUGCCGAGGUGGUGGCAGCCUGGAGCCCUGAGUUGCAGGAGUUCUUGGAUCCCUGAAGUAGGGACAUGGUGAAGGGUGACCAGAGGCCAUAGCCAAUUGUGUUGAGAAACACAGAAGACCUUGCUUGGACGAAGAGAUUUGGACAGCGAGAACAGUGGGCAAUGAUGCUAUUUAUACAACACCCAUCUGUGAUGUACCAGAAGAAAUGGGCCCUGGAACCUAUGGCUGACUGAUGGAUCGCUGGCCUGCUGUGCUCCCUGAGGGCUCACCCAUGCAUCCCCACUUCUUGGCAACAUAGAAGAACAUGGAGGCAUUCUGGAAGUGGGUUCUCUAAGCAUGGGUCUCAUAAACAAACAAACAAACAAACAGAACAAAGAGAUCAAAUGAAUCCAGGAGCAAAGCUCUUUCAGCAUCAUCAUCGAUGGAUGAACCUCUUUCCCAAUGAAUGAGUUUCAGCAUCACACUAAGUCAAUGUAAACCCCCUGGCACUUCUUCACAUAAAAGAUUUUAAAUUUU